GCAAAUGUAUGAUCGUACAGUCAAAGAACUCCAGAAGUAGUAACUGAUUUCAAGUUUUGCAGACUGAGCAAAUUAAAAUACCUGUAUCUUCAAUGGUAACCGGUUUAUUGGCAACAUUUGUCGCGAGUGGGGCAAUAAAGCAAGAUAUGUUUACAUACACUCAUUGAUAAGCAAGUAAACAGUGUAGUUUUUUCUUGAAAUAUUAAGGUAAGAAACGUAAGGUAAAACUGAAAGAUCUUGACAGAAGAGGUGAAUAGAAUAACAUUUAAUAAUCUCUUCCCUGUAACCGUUAGCCGUCAACUGAAGAGAACGGCGAAUUUAUUCAAACAUGUCACGGCUAAAUGCCAGUUGUAUAAAUCGAGAGAUAGCUGACCGCUAAAUUUUACUCUUGGCCCAUAUAUGUGAUGCAAAUAUACUUCAUCAGCUUUACCCCCCUACCACCAUGAAAUCGGCAAUACAAGGAUUCUGAUAACAAAUAACGCGGCUGUCUGAUCGCUCUUUCUUCCUUGCUUCGCCGAUUUUCGCAGCUUCACAGACGGUGUCCGGAAGCUUUAUCCCCAAUAUUUCCGGAAAGCUCAGGGACAAAAAACUCGCUGAGAUGCCCAUCACCCCGUAUAAUAUGAAAGGUAGCGACUUCAUAUAGUGGGCCUGUAAGAAAAACAAACAAUCGGGGUUAAUUCCGUUUCGAAACUAAUUUAUUUGCCAACUAAUCAUAGGCUUGGAAAUAUAAACUUCAGGAGGUUGUUACAGCCGACAAUACCAGUACUCACUAGCAAUGGCGUUUGCGGAGCUGACAUAGACCCGAUACGUCCAACCAUACUGCACAGGCCGAGAAGUGAGUGACGAAGUGACGUAGGAAACAUCUCCGUUGUGUACAUGUAUAUCAAGUGUAAAUCGGGUCACGUAAUUGGUUCUAUGUCAAUUAGGCCAACCUGCAGGAAUGAAGAUUGUGAUGAUGCAGAAUAUUCCGCUCAAAAAAAAAGUUAGGCUGAGCGUCGGUUUGCGUCCAAGGUAAUCUGCGAGGAUCCACGCAACAAAUAGAGCCGGAAUUUCAACCAGGCUCACCAAAAUAAAAUUGAUGUACUUGUCUCCGGGCACAUAGAUCGAACCCAAUGACAAUCCGUAGUAAACGAAUACGUUAGCCACCCAGCAAUAAGUGCAAAUGAU
rnacentral:lncRNA from 1 species